rnacentral:rRNA from 1 species
ACUCCUACGGGAGGCAGCAGUAGGGAAUCUUCCACAAUGGGCGCAAGCCUGAUGGAGCAACACCGCGUGAGUGAAGAAGGGUUUCGGCUCGUAAAGCUCUGUUGUUAAAGAAGAACACGUAUGAGAGUAACUGUUCAUACGUUGACGGUAUUUAACCAGAAAGUCACGGCUAACUACGUGCCAGCAGCCGCGGUAAUACGUAGGUGGCAAGCGUUAUCCGGAUUUAUUGGGCGUAAAGAGAGUGCAGGCGGUUUUCUAAGUCUGAUGUGAAAGCCUUCGGCUUAACCGGAGAAGUGCAUCGGAAACUGGAUAACUUGAGUGCAGAAGAGGGUAGUGGAACUCCAUGUGUAGCGGUGGAAUGCGUAGAUAUAUGGAAGAGCACCAGUGGCGAAGGCGGCUACCUGGUCUGCAACUGACGCUGAGACUCGAAAGCAUGGGUAGCGAACAGGAUUAGAUACCCUGGUAGGAUAGCG